AGCAGCCGCGGUAAUUCCAGCUCCAAUAGCGUAUAUUAAAGUUGUUGCAGUUAAAAAGCUCGUAGUUGAAUUUCGAGACCGGUUUAUUGGUCGUGCUUUUGUACGUACUGGUAUUAUUGGUUUCUCCUUUCUGACGAAUCUUAAUGCCAUUAAUUUGGUGUUUUGGGGAAUCAGGACUGUUACUUUGAAAAAAUUAGAGUGUUUAAAGCAGGCUCACGCUUGAAUACAUUAGCAUGGAAUAACGGAAUAGGACGUUUGAUUCUAUUUUGUUGGUUUCUAGGAUCGACGUAAUGAUUAAUAGGGAUAGUUGGGGGCAUUAGUAUUCAAUUGUCAGAGGUGAAAUUCUUGGAUUUAUUGAAGACUAACUACUGCGAAAGCAUUUGCCAAGGAUGUUUUCAUUAAUCAAGAACGAAAGUUAGGGGAUCGAAGACGAUCAGAUACCGUCGUAGUCUUAACCAUAA
rnacentral:rRNA from 1 species